ACUCGAGUGGCGAACGGGUGAGUAACACGUGGGUGAUCUGCCCUGCACUUCGGGAUAAGCUUGGGAAACUGGGUCUAAUACCGGAUAGGAGCCAUCUUUAGUGUGGUGGUUGGAAAGUUUUUCGGUGUAGGAUGAGCUCGCGGCCUAUCAGCUUGUUGGUGGGGUAAUGGCCUACCAAGGCGGCGGCGGGUAGCCGGCCUGAGAGGGUGUACGGCCACAUUGGGACUGAGAUACGGCCCAG
rnacentral:rRNA from 1 species